rnacentral:lncRNA from 1 species
AUAAAUAACAAGCUGCGGCUAUCACUUGCACCACUCAAUAUAAUAUAUACUUCUCAUUACAUCUCUCCCGCGUUGCAAAAAGAGACCCUGGCUUGCCCACAAAAGCCUACAACCUAUACUAAUCUGUAAAAGUCUGGUACAGGGACCAAGCAAAAGCUGAAAAAAGUUAAAACAAAGACACGGGCAUGUAGUAUCAAUAGUAAUAAACCGCAUUACGUGAUAAUAAAAUGGUAAGUUCGCCACCUUGUAACACCAUGCACCA